UUUCUUGGAAAACUAGUCACUUU
rnacentral:snRNA from 1 species